rnacentral:rRNA from 1 species
UGGGGAAUAUUGGACAAUGGGCGAAAGCCUGAUCCAGCCAUGCCGCGUGUGUGAAGAAGGCCUUAUGGUUGUAAAGCACUUUAAGCGAGGAGGAGGGUACUGGUAUUAAUACUACCAGGUACUGGACGUUACUCGCAGAAUAAGCACCGGCUAACUCUGUGCCAGCAGCCGCGGUAAUACAGAGGGUGCAAGCGUUAAUCGGAAUUACUGGGCGUAAAGCGCGCGUAGGUGGUUCGUUAAGUUGAAUGUGAAAGCCCCGGGCUCAACCUGGGAACUGCAUCCAGAACUGGCGAGCUAGAGUAGGGCAGGGGGUGGUGGAAUUUCCUGUGUAGCGGUGAAAUGCGUAGAUAUAGGAAGGAACACCAGUGGCGAAGGCGACCACCUGGGCUCAUACUAACACUGAGGUGCGAAAGCGUGGGGAGCAAACAGG